rnacentral:rRNA from 1 species
AUUGAACGCUGGCGGCAUGCCUUACACAUGCAAGUCGAACGGCAGCGGGGACUUCGGUCCGCCGGCGAGUGGCGAACGGGUGAGUAAUGUAUCGGAACGUACCAUUCAGUGGGGGACAACUAUCCGAAAGGAUAGCUAAUACCGCAUAUUCUGUGAGCAGGAAAGCAGGGGAUCGCAAGACCUUGCGCUGAUUGAGCGGCCGAUAUCAGAUUAGCUAGUUGGUGAGGUAACGGCUCACCAAGGCUACGAUCUGUAGCGGGUCUGAGAGGAUGAUCCGCCACACUGGGACUGAGACACGGCCCAGACUCCUACGGGAGGCAGCAGUGGGGAAUUUUGGACAAUGGGCGCAAGCCUGAUCCAGCCAUGCCGCGUGAGUGAAGAAGGCCUUCGGGUUGUAAAGCUCUUUCGGCCGGGAAGAAAUCGCAUCAGCUAAUACCUGGUGUGGAUGACGGUGCCGGAAUAAGAAGCACCGGCUAACUACGUGCCAGCAGCCGCAGUAA